UAAUCAACAGACACGAGUAGUCAAAGAGUAUACGUCUUAUUGAAAACGUGUUUUAGUCGUCUCAAGACGAUCAUAAUUACAGUUUAUUCACGAGCAAGGUUUAGUCAAAGCAGUCAUGAAGCAAGUAAUAUUACUUUUAUUUAUUUUCUUGGCUUUCGGCACCCUAGUAAACUCGAAAGCGUUACCACAAUUCGAUAAUGACUUUUUUAAGAGUGAUGAUGACUUUCCGAAAGGUUGGGACUUUAAAAACUGUAAUAAUUGCAAAAUUAUAGGAAAUGGACGAGAAAACACGAAUACAGUUUAUAUAAAAUCUGACAAGUAACAUAAGAGAGUCAUUUAUUUUUAAGCAAUAUAUUGUAUUAAAAGUAUAUAUGUGCAUUAAGUUAAUAUGAAAUAUUUUUUAUUUGUAAUAUAAAGGUACAGUUGUUGUGUUUUUUAUUUUGUCAGUAUAUUUAACUUAAUAUAAAGUAGUCUGUAUAUACGAGAGACGGUCUAUGUAACAUGCAUUUAUUUUUUUACAACCAUUUAUCCAAAACUAUACCAAAAGUAUCUUUUUUAUUGUAUUUAUUCUUAUCAUUGUAUCUUUUAUUGUCUAUAUUAAUAAGUAUUGCAGUUUUAUGUUAAUUAGACGGUCGAGGAGGAAAACUGCUGACAAGAUUCUCCAAGAUUGCCUUUUUGCCUCUGCGGAAUUUUUCAUUUUUUUGUUAUUAAUAAAAUAUUCCUCACUCUCGUGUUAAUAGAUCGAAUAGAUUAUGAAUGAAUAGAUCACUUCACUAAUUACACGAACAAACUCGCUAGUAGCAAAUACAUUUAAAAAAUUUCACUCAAAGACUCAUUCGAGUUAGUUCAAAAUAACAAAUGUAAUGUAAUUAUAAAAAGAAAUAGAACAGAUAUUGAGAAUAGUAUUAAAAAUAUAUAUCUUUCCACAUAUACUGUAAUAAAGUACAGUGAAGAAGUAAACACAGUAAAUAAAGGUAUUAUUACUGUAGAGUAGUCGGCCACUAGUCACCGAUUAUUCGACAAAAAACGCCAACUAUCCGGCUUCUUACUUUGUUUGUGUUUGUACAUAAAUAAAUAAAUUUUUUAUUGUUUA